ACGACUCUCGGCAACGGAUAUCUCGGCUCUCGCAUCGAUGGAGAACGCAGCGAAAUGCGAUACUUGGUGUGAAUUGCAGAAUCCCGUGAACCAUCGAGUUUUUGAACGCAAGUUGCGCCCAAAGCCUUUCGGCCGAGGGCACGUCUGCCUGGGUGUCACGCAACA
rnacentral:rRNA from 1 species